CGUGUAGGCGGUUUGGCAAGUCGAGUGUGAAAUCCCACGGCUCAACCGUGGAACUGCGCUCGAAACUGCCUUACUUGAGUACGGGAGAGGUGUGCGGAAUUCCUGGUGUAGCGGUGGAAUGCGUAGAUAUCAGGAAGAACACCGGUGGCGAAGGCGGCACACUGGCCCAGCACUGACGCUGAGGCGCGAAAGCGUGGGGAGCGAACG
rnacentral:rRNA from 1 species